CCUACACCCUCUGCAGAACAGCUCCUUAAAAAGUGGAGUCUGAUCUGGAUGAAAAACCCAGGGUUUCUGGGGCUUUUUGUGAUACAACACUACGACACUGUUCUUCCCAGUCUGAACAUACUGCAUAUCUGAUCUGGCAAACUGGAGCAAACUCAUCGCUUUCUGCCAAGAUGAUCUUGGGAAAAGUAUCCAGGGUGCCUCUGCAGACGUUAACUGAGUAGCCUGAGCUCGGUUCCUGGUACCUGGAAUUACAGCAGGAUUGCCUCAGGAUGGCAAGCUGCGUGCCUGCGCUCUUCAGUGGGACGGAGAGGUGAAAGCUCUGGGCUGUUAUCAGCAGAAACGGCCCUAAAACCAGCAGAGGAACAUCUGCUAGCUGCGGCCGAGCGCUGCAACUACAGGACUUCUUUGACCUGUGUGGCUGUACAUUGCCCUCAGCUGGCACUGCCUCAGAGACUUUGGGCCUCUCCAUUUUUCCAUAGAAUUGUAGCGGGAGGAAUGUCUGACAAAGACAAGACGCCUAUCAGAAAGAAGGCAGGGCAGGCACACGGUCAUGGGGAGGAGGCAAGACGAAAUUCUGAUCUCUGUUUUUAUAGCAAGUUUGAUGGUGUUCUGACUUAAUCUGAUGUAAAAUCGGUGUAAUUUCAGUACCCUUAAGGGACUUACUCUUUGUACUGGUGUGGAGAAGUGAACUUACAGUGUGCAUGCAUAAUCAGAGAGGCUACUCUGACUCUGUGACUAUUUUAACAACAGAUAGGUUGUCAUCUGUGCCUUGCUUCUUCCUCCUUUCAUUACUUUUGGAUUAAGGGUGAGCCUGUUAUUCUGCACCUCUUGUUUCUUUCCCUCCCCCCGCCAAAAAAAAAAAAAAAAAGAAAAGAAAAAAAAAAGAAGAAGAAGAGGAAGAGGAUUACCUUGAGGAUGGUGGAAGAAAUGUGUGUUAAGGAGAUAGACUAGUAAGGCAUAUGUUACAAGUUCUUGAUUUGUCAGGGCUCUAGGAGUAUAUUUGAGACAUGUCCAUGAUGAAUAUUCCCUUUUCAAAAAUUUUUGGACUUGGUGAUAGAACUUAUAUGGGCUACUCUAAAACAGAAAGAUUGGGCUGGUUGGUCAUUUUAAUUGACUCUCUGUUUUGAAAUUCUGAUUUGCACUGAAAGGCGAAAAAAACCGCAAAUGUCAAAACAGAAAGCAAACAGUUUUAUGUUAUUGAAAAAAAUGAAUUGAACGGAUUCAAGUUGUUUUCAGAGGAACAGCUUGCAAAGCAGUAACAAAAUUUCAUUUUUUUUUUUGCUACAAUCAGAAAUAACUUCAAAAACCUAAACUCUCCUGUAACAGGAAAACUCUUCCCCAAAAGUAUACCACACACACUCUUCCAGCAAAGGAUUGCAGCAGGCAUCUGUUAAAGGGAGCUCAGUGAGGGCUGGAGCAUGUUUAGUGUUUAAAUACUGAUAGUGCAAGCAGCAAAGCCUGCCUUCUCCAUCGUGGCUAGUACAGAGAUGGAUCACCCAUUCCUGUUCUGAUAUGGAGGUCAACUUUUUGUGAAAGAGGUCCCAAAAUAAGAAUGAUUCAAAAAGGAUGUGCUGCUAUGCAUAGAAUUCUAGUACUUCCUUCUCAUUUCUGCUCCUUCAUCUAAAAAGAAAGCCUCCUCUUGCCUGUUUUAUACAGAUUCACUUUGCCUAGCUAAAUUAUACAGCUAUGGUACUGAGGAAAUGUACCCUUUUAUGAGUGGUUCUUCGCUACCUUGGUUUUUCUGUUUUGUGUAUUCUUUGGCCUUUCUGAGGCCCCUGUGACGGGCUUACUGUAUGUGUUUUUGCAAUCGUUUUCUGCUCUCUUAUCUGAUUGGGUUCAUUUUGAGCUAUUUGUAGACAGUACAAAAAGAGACCAGAUUAAAAUCAAUGCAGACAUUGUGUUCCCACACAUGCCCUGUAUUCCUAGGUAUUAGAAAUGGGAAUGAGUCAUCCAGCAAUACAGUUAAGUACUGACAAAUGGUUGUCUAAAGCUCUGAUAAGUAAAAUCUCUUUGACUUAUUGCAUAUUUUCUGUCUCCACAUACUGCUGGUAUAAAUCUAAAAGAAAAUCUACUCUUUGCCUCUCCAAGGACAGAACUUGCAGUCUUUGCUCAGGUAUAUUUUUCCAACAAAAUGUGUAGGAGUUUUGGGGACUUUAUCACUGGGACUAAAUUUAUGUGUUAGGAUAGAGGAAAAUAAAAUAAUCCUUCUUUACACACAGCACUUGUCUGCAUCAAUGCAAAUGUACAUAUGUCUCUAUUUGCAGCCAGAGAGCAAUGAUGCUUUUAAACCUCUCUUUUUGCUUGGUGAUGUUGCGCACACCAGGUUUUCGCUGUGUUGAAAAGUGAACAAUAAAAUAGAGAAAAGCGACAAUUGCGAUUGAAAGGAUAAUAAAAUAUCACCUGAAGAUAA